AUUGUAUUCUUUGCUUCUAAUUAAAUCACAGAAAAAGAAAUGCAUAAUAGGAACCUCUUUGUCCUAUCAAAUUCUAAAUUAAACAUUCUGUGCAAUAAAAGAAGUUUAAACAUUAGAUCUCUCUUUACAGGAAGUGUGUAGGAAGAAUGUGUCAAAUGCAAGGAGGUGUGGUUAGGAGCUUCAUAAACAAAGUGACUUAACUCAUAAAUG